rnacentral:rRNA from 1 species
AUUGAACGCUGGCGGCAUGCCUUACACAUGCAAGUCGAACGGCAGCACGGGGGCAACCCUGGUGGCGAGUGGCGAACGGGUGAGUAAUGCAUCGGAACGUGCCCAGUAGUGGGGGAUAACCAGUCGAAAGACUGGCUAAUACCGCAUACGACCUACGGGUGAAAGCGGGGGACCGUAAGGCCUCGCGCUAUUGGAGCGGCCGAUGUCUGAUUAGCUAGUUGGCGGGGGAAAGGCCCACCAAGGCGACGAUCAGUAGCUGGUCUGAGAGGACGACCAGCCACACUGGGACUGAGACACGGCCCAGACUCCUACGGGAGGCAGCAGUGGGGAAUUUUGGACAAUGGGCGAAAGCCUGAUCCAGCCAUGCCGCGUGCGGGAAGAAGGCCUUCGGGUUGUAAACCGCUUUAGGCAGGAACGAAACGGCGCGGGCCAAUACCCCGCGCUAAUGACGGUACCUGCAGAAUAAGCACCGGCUAACUACGUGCCAGCAGCCGCAGUAA